AAACCAACAGGGAUUGCCUUAGUAACGGCGAGUGAAGCGGUAAAAGCUCAAAUUUGAAAUCUGGUACUUUCAGUGCCCGAGUUGUAAUUUGUAGAAUUUGUCUUUGAUUAGGUCCUUGUCUAUGUUCCUUGGAACAGGACGUCAUAGAGGGUGAGAAUCCCGUUUGGCGAGGAUACCUUUUCUCUGUAAGACUUUUUCGAAGAGUCGAGUUGUUUGGGAAUGCAGCUCAAAGUGGGUGGUAAAUUCCAUCUAAAGCUAAAUAUUGGCGAGAGACCGAUAGCGAACAAGUACAGUGAUGGAAAGAUGAAAAGAACUUUGAAAGAGAGUGAAAAAGUACGUGAAAUUGUUGAAAGGGAAGGGCAUUUGAUCAGACAUGGUGUUUUUGCAUGCACUCGCCUCUCGUGGGCUUGGGCCUCUCAAAAAUUUCACUGGGCCAACAUCAAUUCUGGCAGCAGGAUAAAUCAUUAAGAAUGUAGCUACUUCGGUAGUGUUAUAGCUUUUUGGAAUACUGUUAGCC
rnacentral:rRNA from 1 species